GCCGCCGGACGGCGCCAGCUUCGGCGCUGAUCGAAGCUGCCGAGCCGGGCCGACGGUGGCGCCAUCUCAGCUCCGCCGGCCUCGGCCACUCCUGGCGGCGGGCUCGGCAUUUAUCGGUCAGGGGUCGGCGCCGCAGCACGCAACCAGCCAUGAAGAAGGCAGCGAAGAAGGAGGGCGGAGACGCCGAGCCGGCCGGCUCCCCGGCCAAGGAGGACAAGAAGCCUGCCAAGGAGGCCGCCCCCAAGAAGGAAGCCGCCGCGAAAGAAAAGGGCGGCAAAAAAGGUGGCAAGAAGUGACCUCUGCCCAAGGCUGCGCCCAUUCACCAUUUCAUUUGCCAUUCGUUUUGCCACACAUGGAUCGCGUCGUCAAGAGCAAAGAUAUUUCCACCGUUGCAAGCUGGCUGUGUUGAGUGUUCCCAACUAUUGAAGUGAUGUGCUAGGUCCAGGUUUGGCCGGAAGGUCUCAAGGCCAGUAGUUCUUAGCUCGCCCGCUGCUGUGUUAAGAUCGGGGCUCAUUCCAACUGUGUGCGGUGGGUCAAUAAAUCAUCAGUUUAUUUGUGUA